UGGCGGGAAGAUGACAAGGAUGGCCAUUACAUGUUUGCGAUUGGAGAAAAUUUAACUUCUCGCUAUAAGAUACACAGCAAGAUGGGUGAAGGCACCUUUGGUCAGGUCUUGGAAUGCUGGGAUAGAGAAAGAAAAGAGAUGGUUGCAAUCAAAAUUGUCCGCGGGAUUAAGAAGUAUCGUGAAGCUGCUAUGAUAGAGAUUGAAGUGCUGCAACAGCUUGGUAAACAUGAUAAAGGUGGAAAUCGUUAUGCAUGACUUGCGUCUGAUUCAUACUGACUUGAAACCUGAGAACAUUCUUCUAGUUUCUCCAGAUUAUGUGAAAGUUCCUGAUUACAAGGGUUUGUCCCGAUCACCAAAGGAAGGCUCCUACGUUAAGAGAGUCCCAAAGUCGAGUGCUAUUAAGGUGAUUGAUUUUGGUAGUACUACUUAUGAGCGC
rnacentral:misc_RNA from 1 species